GGAACGGUAACAGCGGCUUGGCAGAGCAGGGGUCCUCUGUUUCUGCCUCAACGUUGGGCAACCUCAACCCCUCUCCAGGAGACCAUCGCCAGGGUCCCACGAUUUUAGGAAUCUGGCAAGCCAAACCAGGCUGGGAAAAGUUCUGGCGGGGCUCCACGGAUGCCCAGGGCGGUACCCAAGUAUCCCCAGAAUGUUUCAGACCUGCACAGACAGUGUGAAGGGGCCUCUCUUUGAAAGCCGUCCCGGCUGGGAUUUCCAGAAAACCAGAGGAGGAAAAUGAGGCUUCAUUUCUGAGGAAGAAAAACAUGAGGAAAGAGUUCCCAGAGAGAGAAGACAAAGGCAGUCGUUGUUGCAGCAGAAGCCCAAGGCUGAAGAUUGAAGAACUGAAUAUGUAACUUUGUAAGGGACCUGGAGACAAGGAAAAUCUUGUCAGGAGUUUUACACUUUCAGGUGAAAUUACAAUGGGAUAUCACCACACACCUGUUAGAAUGGCUAUUAGAAAAAAGACAAGAGAUAACAGUGUUCGUAAGCACUGGAGAAAAAGAAACCCUUGUACACUUCUGAUGGGUAUGUAAAUUCAACCAUUUGCACACAGAGAGAGAAGCCAGAAAUCUGCCUGGUAAGAAAUUACUGUUUUUCUGGCGUGACAAACUUCUGGGUUUUCUUUCCCCGAGCAGUCCUAGUGAUCCUGCUUUUGGUACCAUCACCCUGGGUUGCCAAACCAAAUCAUAAAGGAAAAUUCCUUAUUAUUUUUUGUUCUAGCCAGAGCAAAAUACAUGUAAUAAAACAUGGGCAUUAGCCAUUCUGCUUAGCACUAAAUAUCAAACUGGCAAGUCUUCAAUUUGCCCCCAGAUGGGCCUCCUCAUCUUUAAUUUAACCUCCGACUUGGAGUUUCAACUCAUGGUCUCCGGGCAAAAUGGCCACCCUGAAUAAUAGAAAAGAUAGGAAAGGGAAAGGAAAUAGACAAAAGCAUUGUGUGUGACAGGGUGGAGAAGAUGAAAUGAUCAGGGAGGCCAGAGAAAGACCCAGCCAUUUCAGCGACACUGAAAACUUCAGGCUGCUGUAGCUGCUAUCAUGAAGGGACUUCUUUCCAGCAUUCCCAUCAGCUCUCAAUGCUCCCCUUUUAGGAAGGACAAAGCUUCCCAUAUCCCACUAUCCUGUACAUGCUUAAUCCUGUUACCCACAGCCAUCAGCAAAGAGUGCAAGACAGAUUAACUCAAAGAGAGUAGAAGUUAACAUUCUAUAGUGCCAGACCUCUUUCUAGCUGAGAGGAACUUCACUGAGAGGGUUUUCUAUCCUCCUAAAUCUUAGAAGUGACUCUAGCCUUUCUGAUCUGGGCCUCUAACCCAAGGUCAAUCAAGCAUCUUUGCCUUUUAUUAAGAGGGGCCUCUAACUCACUUUUCCCACUUUGUCUUAGGAGAGACUUAACUCCUCUAACCCAAUGCUUUUUUUUUUUUGGAGACAGAGUCUUGCUCUGUCACCCAGGCUAGAGUAUAGUGGUGUGAUCUUGGUUCAAUGCAACCUCUGGCUUCCAUGUUCCAGCAAUUCUCCUGUCUCGGCUUCCUGAGUAGCUAGGAUUACAUGUGCACCCCAUCAUGCCUGGCUAAUUUUUGUAUUUUUUAGUAGAAACAGGGUUUCGCCAUACUGGCCAGGCUGAUCUUGAACUCCUGACCUCAUGAUCUGCCCACCUCAGUCUCCCAUAGUGCUGGGAUUACAGGCAUGAGCCACUGCUUUCAGCCUCCAAUACCAUUCUUUACCUGGGUACUCAAUGACUUACCCAAAAUCACCUAAUCAGUGCUGCAGUCUAUCGCCUUUGGGUCAGGGGUCUCUUCAGUAUUGUCCCUUCAGGAUUCACCAGAAAGACGUUACCAGACUCCACCACUUACCCAAAGUUAGCUUUUUGGUCAGGGUUUUUCUCAGAAUAGUCAUCUUUAUGGUCACCAGAAAGAUGUUACAGGAACCUACGCUUACCCAAAGGUAGCAUUGGGUCAGGGUUUCUGCACUAUAGUCCCUUCCGUGGCCACCAAAUAUAUGCUACAGGAUAGGGUCUUGAUCCACACCUGAAGAGAGGGUUCUUGGAUCUCAGCAAGAGAGAAUUCAGGGCUAGUCAGCAGUGCAAAGUGCUAGCAAGUUUAUUAAGAAAAUAAAGAAAUAAAAAAUGGCUACUCUAUAGACAGAACAGGGCUGAGGGCUGCUGGUUGCCUUUUUUAUGGUUAUCUCUUGAUGAUAUGCUAAACAACUGGUAGAAUAUUCAUGCCUAUUCUUUUUAGACCAUAUAGAAUAACUUCCUGACCUUGCCAUGGUUUUUGUAUACUGUCAUGGUGCUAGUGGGAGUGUAGCAGUGAGGACAACCAAAGAUUACUCUUGUGGCCAUUUUGGUUUUGGUGGGUUAUGGCCAGCUCCUUUACUGCAACCUGUUUUAUCAGCAAGGUCUUUAUGACCUGUAUUUUGUGCUGACCUUCUAUCUUACCCUGUGACUUAGAAUGCCUUAACUAUUGAGGAAUGCAGCCCAGUAGGUUUCAGCCUCAUUUUACCCAUUCAUGAUGGAGUUGCUCUGACUCACAUGCCUCUGACAGGGCUGUGGUCUGAUGCACAUCAGUCCUAGAGCAAGACACCCAAGGCUGGGAGUUUCCCACCCAUGGCUUUUACCCUCUCCAGCCACUUAAACAGGUAUGGUGUUCUGUGUGAGCCUCUCAGCCUUCAGGAGGGAUUUUUAUCUUGUGUCACAGUGGGAAAGCCUGUGGCACAGAGGCCAUGAAUGGUGACAUGUGGGAGAUUCUGUGACUGGGAAACAUGCACCUCCCCCAGUUCCAGCACAACUUCUCCAGGACGCACACCCCUUGGGCUGUGCUGGUAGGCUGUUCUUGGCAUAUGCCAUCCUGGUGGGGUUCAGCAGUUGUAGGGGUGGGAGUGGGUUUGCUGAAAGGAGCAGAUGCUAUGGAACCCACAGUGGUAAGGGGAAGUUUUCUUCUCUUCAUAAUCAGAUAGUUACAGAUAGAAGGCCAGAUAUCUCCACAAGUGAACUCGCUCACCCUGACAUUGUAAAUUAACAGCUUAUCUUCACAGUACAAGACAAGACUAGAACUUGUCCCUCCCCUCUGCCCUUCCCAGCUCCUCCACUCCAAGAUGAAUACAUACUUGAUUGCUUCCUCCAUGUCGGGUUUGCUUUAUCUUGUGUAAAGUGCAGAUUUACUAAACUUUUGCUAAAUGCCUUCCUCUAAUGGCUCCUUUUCACACGAAAUGUGUGGAUUCAGCAAGCCUAAUCAAAGCCUCACACUAAUGUGGCCAUACCUUCUCUCUUAUUUUUUCUUUCCCUUUCUCCCUCCUGCCUGCUGUACCACCUUUAAAAACUGAAACCUUCAAAAUCCUCUUCAGAAAAAGUAGAGACCAUAGAUUCUACUUGCCUUAACUAUUUUCUUUUAUUUUAUACCUUCUUUCCCCAUCUCAUGCACAAAAGUUGUUUUGUUCUUUGAUGAGUGUGGACACCAGUGCCUUCGUGGGUAUAGGUUAAAGCCCCCUUUUGCUGAUUAAGAAAGAACAUUUCCUGAGGCUGCUGGGGCUCUGGGCACUAUGUGUGCCUGGCAGCUAGGUGGAGCAUGUGGGGGCCUGGUUGACCUGUGCCCUGCUGCCUUGUCCCCAGGAGGAGCCAGACCAUGUGUUCUCAGUUCCCAUUCACAUGCAGUCCCACACUGUCUUUGAUGUUUCCCUGCAUGCUUCCCCCUACUCAGCCCCUGAUGGGUCUCCCCAAGAUUUCUUCCCACCAACCCCAACAUGAGAUGGAAUCUUAAGAGGCAAUGACCUUGCUUCCUGCCUCUGCCUAAAGUUAGGGGUCUCUUACUUUUGCUGGCACCUAGCAGUCAGAGAGAAUAAAAUCAGGGUCAGCUCUCAGCUGAGUGAACAGCCCUUCUCCUCUCACUACCCCACAUAGGUGAAGCUGCUGGUCAUGGCUGACCUAGAGCUUCUCUGUGUCCUACCGUUUCUCGCUGAACCAGUAACACUUAUGGGGUACAAUGUGGUGUUUCACUGCAUUAUACUACAUGCUACAGUGUAGGAACAUCACAUUGUGCUUUGUAAAUGUGUAUAAUUAUCAUGUGUUCAUUAUAUGAUGUUUCACUGCAUCACACUGUACCACAUACACUGUACAGUGAUCCAACCAGUCAUUAGCAUAUUUAACACUUUAAACAUUUAUUAUUUCCUUGUGCUAAAAUCCUCUCUUCAAGCUAUGAUAGAAUAAACAGUACCUUCUUAGCUAUAGUCACUGUACCGUGUAAUAGAACACCAGGAUUUAUCCUUUCUAACUGUAACCAUGUACCCAUUGACAAACCUCUCCCCAUUUCCUCAUCCUUCUGUCAUCUCUAACUUCUGGUAAUGACCAUUCUCCUCUCUACUUCUAUGAGAUCGAUUUCUUUAAAUGUCACAUGAGUGAUGUGGUCUUUUUAUUUCUGUGCCUGACUUAUUCCACUUAACAUAAUGUCCUCUAUACUCUUCCACAUUGACACAAAUGAUGGAAAUUCAUUCUAUUUUAUGACUAAACAUUUUUCUUCUGUGUGUGUGUGCGUGUGUGUGUUUGCGUGUCUGUGUGUAUGACAUUUUCUUUAUUCUGUAGAUGGGCACUUAUAACUGUUGGUGAAUAUGUAAAUUAGUACAAUUAUUUUCCACUUAUAUAGGGAGAACAGCAUGAAGGUGUUUCUUUUCUUUUCUUUCUUUUUGAGAUGGAGUCUUGCUCUGUCACCCAGGCUGGAAGGCAAUGGCACAAUCUCAGCCAACUGCAACCUCCACCUCCCAGGUUCAGAAGAUUCUCCUGCCUCAGCCUCCUUAGUAGCUGGGACUACAGGUGCAUGCCAUUACACCCAGCUAUUUUUUUGUAUUUUUAGUAGAGACGGGUUUCACUGUGUUAGCCAAGAUGGUCUUGAACUCCUGACCUGGUGACCCACCCACCUCAGCCUCCCAAAGUGCUGGGAUUGUGGAUGUGAGCCACUGCACCCAGAUUGGGUUUUUUUCAAUGAAUUAUAAAUACAGCUACCAUAUGAUUCAGCAAUCUGACUACUGGGUAUAUAUCAAGAGGAAACAAAAUAAGUGUGUCAAAAAAUAACUGCACUCUCAUGUUUGUUAAGCAGUAUUCAUAAUAACCAAAACCAUUAUUUCUUCCAAGUAUUUCUUAAUUUACCUUUUUUACAUAUAUUACACCCUAAACUUUUAAAAGAUUCAUGUCUGGUUUCCAAUUUCUGAAAUUUAUGAGUCACUGAUUCUUUGAAUAUUGCCUUCCUAUUCAGAUAGUCUGGUAAAACAAUUAAAUGUUUUAAAUUUGUUCUCAAUCUAGUCUUCAUAUAUAAAUAUACUUCUAUUUUCUAUUAAUUUGCCUUUUAUAAAGUAUAUGACUACAUGAAUUGUGAUCAGCAUUUCACUUUACUAAUCCUCUUUUCAGCUGAGUCUAUUUUAAUAUGUAAUUUGUAUGUUGUACAUUACAUUGUUUUAAAACGUUUUCAAUUCUUUACUUUUCAUUUGCUUCUUUUCCAAAGAUAGCUUGAUAAGCUCAUAGUUUCUUUCCAUAUUAUUUUGGUUUCUUGUUUUUCCAUUAUAUUGACUUAAACAGUUAAAUAUAAAGUCAAUAUCUAAGAUUUAUGUGCCAUAUAUUUUUUCUGAUGCUUCACCCCAGUAGCUCGUCUCCUGUGUGCAAUAUAAUUUACAAUUUAAUCAUCACAUAUGGGAGACACCACAUUCUGAUGCCUGCAGGCAGCUUCUCUUCAUUUAUUCCAUUUGCCCUGUCAAAAGGUAACAACCCACAUGGAUUUGACAUCCUUGUGAUCAGAUGCAUCUGAGUGGAGCACUGGCGUCUUAGGUUCAUUAGGUUCUCUGGAUCAUUACCUUUAUUUACUUCCAGUCCUGGCAAGUUUUCUUAAUUUCCUUUCAACUGUAUUAGGCACUCUGUGAAUUCUUGUAACUUCUUGGUGAUUUUAGUUGUUUUCGUUAAGUGUUUAAAGUAUAUUAUUUUUCUGAAAAGCAGAAAUAGCAAUAGUUGCAUAUAUGAGCAAAAGAUUUUACAUAGAUUUUCUAUUCCAUGUAUCACCACCUCAUUCAAAGUUCUUUUAUUUGAAACACCCUUCCCAUCAAUAGCCCAUAUUUUAAUAAUUUGUAGAAUGUAGUUACUUUUGUACCAUUAGAAAAUUAAUUAUAUAUUAUGUACAAAUUUUUGAAAUACUCCACGGCAAUAAAUAGUAUAUGGUCAGAAUUAUUGUUUUCUUCAACAGAAAACCAAUAUGAGUAAAAUUAUUUACCUGAAUUCAGAUCUUUGGGCUUCAAUUGCCAUUCUAUCUCAUUAGCAAUUCCCUAAUCCAUAAAAGUAUCAUUUGUUUUUUUUGUUUAACUCAUAAUUUAUCAAAAUGAGUUAUUUAAUAUUAUAAUGUUUUUAUGGCAAUUGAGGACAUUUUCAAUAAAUAGCUUGAGCUUCAGGCUCUGGUUAAGUAUUCCUUUUGUACUAGAAAUCAGAUAUUUCUGGCACAACUUAAUUGCCUGUAAUGGUGUUUAUGAAAAUUAUGAAUGCCAGCACACUGACUAUUUCAAUACUGUACUCAGUUGUUCAUAUAUAAAUAUUUUAUUAGCUAUAAAACAAACCAAAUACAAAUGCUGAAUAUAUAGUACAUAUCAACAGAUUCUUCACAUGAGAAAACUAUAAAAUCUAAUUUUCUAUGAAAUAUUACCUGUUCAUUAGUUCUUCAAUAUUAUUUAGGCUAUAACGAGGAUAAGAAAAUGUAUUCAUCACUAUCUAUGUUUUCUCAAUAAUAUUGAUCUAGAUCCUGAAGGGCAUGAACAACAAUGCAUAUUGUCAGAUUUCUUUUUAUAGAAUUUUGAUGUUUCUUUUUCUAUGUUUGCUGUUCAUCUUAGUAUAAAUAUAUGGAGACAAGGACAAAUGUACACUUAAGUGGUUAUGUGAAUUUUGCUUAUGUGGCUCAUUGCUUAUAUGGAUGUUGUAAAUGACAAGAUAAAAUAGUAAAGUUUGAUAAACUCAUCUGUGUGUCCUAUGAACUUUAGUUCACUUAUUGUAUAACUUGAUUAAGUCACUAAUAAUUGUUUAAUUGUUUUUUAAAAACUGCAAACCAAACUUUAUUACACAUUUCUGAAUCAGGAAGGGGUAAACUGUUUUCACAGUUUUCUUGUGCCGCUGAUUUUUGGGGAGAAAUCUUCUGCAAUUAAAUAAGAGUUUCCAAGCUCUAUUUUUUAAAAAGCUUGAGUUUUCUUCUAUGAUUAACCUUCACUCCUCAGUCUCUUUUACCCAAGGCAUUGUUCCUAGGGGACCAUGGGAGGAGGGUCAAAGUCCAGGGACCAUAAGUGCUCCAGGCUUUCCCUUGUUGAGUUGGAAACAGUGGCCAAGAGUGUUUUAAAUCAAGUUUCCAUGUGGCUAGAUAUGACCUGCUGGUCACUCUUGAUUAUUUUCCACAUAUAUGCAGCUAUGGUUGGCAAAUUGAAAAGUGUAUAUUUUUAUGGUGCACAAUAGACUGUUUUGAGAUGUGUAUAUCUCAGUUAGGCUAGUUAACAUAUUAACCCCUCACAUAGCUAAUACAUUUCUGUGAGUAGUGAGAGCACCUGAGAUUUAUAUUUGUAACAAAUUCCAAGUACACAUUAUUAUUAACUGUAGUCCCCAUUCUGUGCAUUAGGUCCUGAGCAGUUAUUCACCUUAUAACUGAAGGUGGGCACCCUUUCACGGACAUCUCCCUACUUUUCCACACUUCCUAGCCCAUGGGAACUACCAUUCUACUCCCUGUUUCUAUGGCUUUUUAUUUUUUUAUUUUUAUUUACUGUUUUAGGUUUCACAGAUUGUGCAGUAUUUGUCUUUCUGUAUUUGGCUUAUGUCACUUAGCAUAAUGUCUUUAAGAUUUACCAAUAUUGUUGUAAAUGAAAGAAUUUCAUUUUUUAUUAAAACCCAAAUUAUAUAUCUUUCAGUUUAUCUAUUUCUGUAUCAGAGGAGUGUGGAUACCCUUGGCGAUACUGACUUUCUGUCCUUUGGCUAUAUACUCUGAAUUGGGACUAAUGGCAGUUCUAGUUUAUAAAUUAUAAGCAACUUCUGUACUGUUUUUCAUAAAGACUGCACCAAUUGACAUGCUCGGCAACAGUGUACAAGUAUUCUCUUUUCUCUGCACACUAACACUUUUUAUCUUUUGACGUUUUUAUAAUAGGUAUCCAAAUACCAUGAUAAGGUGAUACGUUAUUGUGAUUUUAAUUUUAAUUACUCUGAUAAUUAGUGAUGCUGAGCCUUUUUAAUAUACCUGUUGGCCAUUUGUAUGUCUUUGGAAAAAUUGCUAUUUAUAUAUUUUGCCCAAUUACUAAUGAGGAAAAUGCUUUUAAUUCUGCUGUUGGAUUAUUUUUUGUAUUGAUUAGUGUGAUAUGUAUUUUGGAUAGUAACAUAUUAUCCUACAUAUGGUUUACAAAUAUUUCCUCCCAUUUCAUAUAAUGCCUUUAUAUUUUGUUGUUUCCUCUAUUGUGCAGAAAUUUUUACUUUGACAUAGUUCCACUUCUUUAUUUUUUGCUUUUGUUGACUGUGUUCUUGGUGUGAAAUCCAAAACAUCAUUGCCACUACCAGUGUCAAGGAGGUUUUUCUUCUAUUUUUUAAGAGAAUUCAUGAUUUCAAUUCUUGCGUUUAAGUCUUUAUUUCAUUGCAAAUUCAUUUUGUGAUGAUAUGAGAGGUUCACUUUUUGUCUGUGCAUAUCUAGUUUUUCCUACACCAUUUCUUGAUGUGUUUAUCCUUUCUCCAUUCUGUGGGACUGGUAUAUUUGUGAGUUUAUUUCUGGAUCCUCUAUUCUGUUCUAUUGCUUUUUAUACAGGUACUAUUUAUUUUGAUGACUAUAGCUUUGUAACAUAGUUUGAAAUCAGGAAGUGUGAGGUUUCCAGCCUUUUUGUUCUUCUCAGUAUUUGGCUCUUGGAGGUCUUUUGUGGUUUCAUGCUAAUUAUAGAAUUGUUUGUUCUACAUUUUAAAUAAAAUGGCAUUAAAAUUUUGAUAGAAAUGUCUUUAACUCUGCAGAUCACUUUGUGCAGUAUGGAUAUUUUAACAAUAUUAAUUUUUAGAAUCCAUUAACACAGGAUAUAUUUCCCAUUUUGUAUUCUUCAAUU